rnacentral:rRNA from 1 species
AUUAGUGGCGAACGGGUGAGUAACACGUGAGUAACCUGCCCUUAACUCUGGGAUAAGCCUGGGAAACUGGGUCUAAUACCGGAUAUGACUCCUCAUCGCAUGGUGGGGGGUGGAAAGCUUUAUUGUGGUUUUGGAUGGACUCGCGGCCUAUCAGCUUGUUGGUGAGGUAAUGGCUCACCAAGGCGACGACGGGUAGCCGGCCUGAGAGGGUGACCGGCCACACUGGGACUGAGACACGGCCCAGACUCCUACGGGAGGCAGCAGUGGGGAAUAUUGCACAAUGGGCGAAAGCCUGAUGCAGCGACGCCGCGUGAGGGAUGACGGCCUUCGGGUUGUAAACCUCUUUCAGUAGGGAAGAAGCGAAAGUGACGGUACCUGCAGAAGAAGCGCCGGCUAACUACGUGCCAGCAGCCGCGGUAAUACGUAGGGCGCAAGCGUUAUCCGGAAUUAUUGGGCGUAAAGAGCUCGUAGGCGGUUUGUCGCGUCUGCCGUGAAAGUCCGGGGCUCAACUCCGGAUCUGCGGUGGGUACGGGCAGACUAGAGUGAUGUAGGGGAGACUGGAAUUCCUGGUGUAGCGGUGAAAUGCGCAGAUAUCAGGAGGAACACCGAUGGCGAAGGCAGGUCUCUGGGCAUUAACUGACGCUGAGGAGCGAAAGCAUGGGGAGCGAACAGGAUUAGAUACCCUGGUAGUCCAUGCCGUAAACGUUGGGCACUAGGUGUGGGGGACAUUCCACGUUUUCCGCGCCGUAGCUAACGCAUUAAGUGCCCCGCCUGGGGAGUACGGCCGCAAGGCUAAAACUCAAAGGAAUUGACGGGGGCCCGCACAAGCGGCGGAGCAUGCGGAUUAAUUCGAUGCAACGCGAAGAACCUUACCAAGGCUUGACAUGAACCGGAAAUACCUGGAAACAGGUGCCCCGCUUGCGGUCGGUUUACAGGUGGUGCAUGGUUGUCGUCAGCUCGUGUCGUGAGAUGUUGGGUUAAGUCCCGCAACGAGCGCAACCCUCGUUCUAUGUUGCCAGCGCGUUAUGGCGGGGACUCAUAGGAGACUGCCGGGGUCAACUCGGAGGAAGGUGGGGACGACGUCAAAUCAUCAUGCCCCUUAUGUCUUGGGCUUCACGCAUGCUACAAUGGCCGGUACAAAGGGUUGCGAUACUGUGAGGUGGAGCUAAUCCCAAAAAGCCGGUCUCAGUUCGGAUUGGGGUCUGCAACUCGACCCCAUGAAGUCGGAGUCGCUAGUAAUCGCAGAUCAGCAACGCUGCGGUGAAUACGUUCCCGGGCCUUGUACACACCGCCCGUCAAGUCACGAAAGUUGGUAACACCCGAAGCCGG